GCAUUCCUCUUUGACGUAACCCACCCACCGGUACGAGGCCAUGCGGAAUAGGCAGUCAUUUAAAGAGAAGCGUGAACGCUAAACGAGGGCAGAACAAGGGYCACSUAAGACCCUAUGCCCACAUCAGGUUCCGUAUCCAUGAUAACAAGCAAUGCUCAAUGGGCCACAACAUCAAUGCAAACACUAAUGAUGUGGAUCAAAGAGAUAGCUUCAAGGUUCAUCUGAUGCCAAGUUGGAUGACAAAAGACGAAAGCUAAUUCAUUCGAUCAGGACAAUACCAUGACUUAGGUAGGCAACACAGGAAACCCCAUCCGCAUAGGUGAUASAACCACCUAGGCAAGCAGACUGAAAAGGUAAUCCGGGUGGCAGUUGUUGCGCAAGCAAA
rnacentral:misc_RNA from 1 species